UGGGGAGGAAAGUGUGCGGCAGGUGGCUGGUCCGCACCAAGGAGCUCCUCGCGCCUGCUCCUCUUGUCUCGGUGCUGGGGCGGGAGCUGCGCAGGCCUCAUCCCACGGGAAGGAGAAGGUAGGCGAAGGGCUGCCCUCCAUCUGGAGGCGGGAGGGGAGCAGGCCCAGGCCUCCAGUGCCGACCCAGGCGUUGACGCCGCUGUAGCUUGCGUCGCCUGGGCGGUGGACUCAGGGGACCUCCUGGCUACGGGUGCGAUCUCGUGCUCCAGGGACCCUCCCGGCCCCCACCAAUCCCUCCCCUUCUCUGUGUUCCCCCAGGUUGGCGAAGGAGCUGUAGCCGGGUCCCCUUCUUAUCCAGCCCGAGACACUGCGCUCCCUUGGGCGUCCCCGCGCUGGGAAUCCCGCUCGGAGUUUUUCCAGGCCCGGCCGGGCUGCGCGGGGAAAGGCCCCGGUGGGAGAGGUGGACCCGGAGCGGCGGGUCUGCAAUCGGUUUUAAGGGCUCGCAGUGGGUGAUUCAGGGUGCGAAUAACCUCCCCGCGAACAGGAACGCCCGCGCAAGACAACCAGCCCCAACCCGGCAUUCCCAGAGCCGCGCGCGGGAGGGACGCAGGGACUCCGGGACAGCAAAUCCCCGGGGGAGAAGGGAAGGGGGAAGACGGGGCAGGGGCAGCCCCACCCUUCUUGGGCUCCGCUAGCGACCAGCCAGCGCCCCUUCAGACGCAGCCUUUCUGGCUCCUGGCGCCGGCCUUCUGCUCUGGGCCUCGUCCCAAUGCCCCGCAAGGUCCCCAGCAGAGGCAGUCAGGCUCCUCCUCGCCCCACCCAGACACAGCUGCUUUUGGUAUCGGCGACAGCACUCCUGAGCGUCCCUGUCCCUAUUCGCUGCCGUUGCCAGCUCCGAUUCCGCGCAGCCUCUCCGGCCUGGCCCCUGGAAUCCCCGCCCAGGGCGAUGGUAGGGGCCUAACCUGCCGGCUCCGCCCACGGGCCCUUGGGCUCCCUGAAGCCCGCCCAGCCGACAUGAGUGCGCUGCGGGGUCCACCUUGGGGUUUGUUGGCUCAGGGCAGCUCCAUGACCCCGCCUCCGGGGCCCAGUGUGCGUAGUGACUCAGUGUACACCCUUUCCUCGUCAAGGAACGCUUGAGAAAGUGGCGAAGGGGCCUACGGGGGACCCGGUUGGACCCUGCUUCUUCGGUUCCUCUGCCUCGGCCAGCGACGGUCUCCUGGCCCCUGGUCCGCGUCACCUUAGGGGGCAGAAGGAGGUGUGGUCAGUGUGGGAGUCUGGAGGGGCCAUGCACUUCCGGCGAAGACCACUGACUCGUGGCUUUGGUGGAGGGGCUCAGGCAGAUUUAGUUAGGCUGUCCCCGAUCCCUGACACACUGGAGCCAGGGCGGGAGUGGGGCUUGUGACCACUCCGGAGAGCUCUGGGGGCCCUGCUCUGGGACUCCGCACCGAUAGUCACUGUCUCAGAGCGCAUUCUCCAGGGGCCACUCUCGUGGGGGCACUGUAGGGGUCCCAGGGCAGGUGGGCAGCCUUUCUCGGGGGCGGCGUGAGAGCCGGAGAGCAGGGGACGGGGCGGGCCAGGCUAGGGGUCACGUCUGCGCUGAAGCAGCUGCGGAAGGAGAGAGAAACCGAGAGAACCGGUUCCCCCGCCUUGACAGCGGAGGCCCCCACACCAAAGCCCUCGGACUAAGCGGGGCAGGGACAGCCUCCAAAUAGAGCUGUUCACCGGGGCGCCUGCAGAGCCCGCAUCCCAACCCCGACCCAGGGGCCGGGGCGCAGGCCCGCGGAGGGAGGCGGUGCUACGAGACCCUCUGCGGAUUCUCUGCGGGCGGGAGGCGUCCAGAUGGGACAGGGCCCGGGGAACGGCAGGAAAUGGGCUGCUUUUCUCACUUGACUGACGGGAAAACUAAGGCUCAGUCAACUAUUAAGCAAGCGUGGUGUCGACCUUAGAGCAGGCAAUCACCCCUCGUUUUAAAGCCAAGGUUUCCCUCGCAGUCGAUUUGGAUCAAGACUACCCCACAAUCUCCCCACCACAGGACUGAAGCGAGGCUCAAAUCUUAGAAUCAGCCCCACGAAAUGAAGGGGUUGUCCUAAUUCCAGCACUGAGUGUAAGAAUAGAAACCUUAGAUGUGAGUGUAAGAAUGGAUACCUCAGAUGUGAUUUUAUGGAAGUCCCCAUUUUAGAAAUGGGAAAACUGAGACCCGAAGGCGAACGGCAAGUGCAGUAUCGGGACUCGAACCCAUGUCUGUGCCUGAGUGCGGGGCUAUUCCGGGCUGGGUUGUCUUGACUUCCGCGGCCCUCCUCCUUUGCCUGCAGGAAAACGCCGCGGCCGCGAUGGCGGCGGCUGUGCAGGGAGACGUGUACGUGCUGGUGGAGCAGGCCUUCGAGUACACCGGCAACAACGCGCGCCGCGUGGCCAUCCCGCCCAAUGAGCUCUACCUGCCGCUGCGGCGCAGCACCGAGCACCUGUGGCAUCUGCGGCGCUAGCCCGGCGGCUGCCCCUUCUACCUGCCAGCGCAGUACGUGCGCGAGCUGCCUGCGCUGGACAACCCUGCCACUGCCGCGCCGCCAGGUCCCCACCCGGCCCCGCGGCCCCCGAGCCGCUCUCCUAUGACUACCGGUUCGUGAGCGCGGCGGCGGCGUCAGCGGGCCCCAGUGGCCCCCAGGCGGAGCCCCGAGGCGGCCCCAGCUCCCUGUGCGGCCCUGCGCAGCGCGGCGCCGCGACCCAGCGCAGCAGCCUGGCGCCCGGCCUGCCCGCCUGCCUGUACCUGAGGCCCGCGGCGCCCGUGCGGCCCGCGCAGUCCCUGGACUACCUGGCGCGCGCCGCCGUCUCGCCUCCCGCCGGCCACCUCGGAAGCAGCGGCAGCUUCAAGGCCUGCAGCGUGGCGGUGUCCUGGGUGUGCCUGCUGCCCCUGGCGCGCAGCGACUCAGAGAACGUCUACGAGGCCAUCUAGGAGGUGCGCGGCCCGCCGCGGGAGGAGAGCACCAAGCAGGUACGACCCCGGGCGCGGAGGUGGGGAGGCUCACUGGGGACCGCGCCUGCAGGGAGCCUGGGCGCGAGGAGACCCGCUCCGCUCAGCAUCGGGCACGACGCCCACCUUUGUCCGAAGACUUCGGAUGAGCUCCCUCUACCCAGCCGCGAAACAGUGCAGGCCCCCCGUCCCUCAUCUGCAAUUCCCAGGCUCCAAAGCUCCCUGGAAGCCCAAAAGGUUUUUCGUAAUCCAAUUGGUGGCAAAAUUGCGCUUGAACUGA